rnacentral:rRNA from 1 species
AUUGAACGCUGGCGGCAGGCCUAACACAUGCAAGUCGAGCGGAUGAAGGGAGCUUGCUCCUGGAUUCAGCGGCGGACGGGUGAGUAAUGCCUAGGAAUCUGCCUGGCUGUGGGGGAUAACGUCCUGAAACGGGCGCUAAUACCGCAUACGUCCUGAGGGAGAAAGUGGGGGAUCUUCGGACCUCGCGCUAUCAGAUGAGCCUAGGUCGGAUUAGCUAGUUGGUGGGGUAAAGGCCUACCAAGGCGACGAUCCGUAACUGGUCUGAGAGGAUGAUCAGUCACACUGGAACUGAGACACGGUCCAGACUCCUACGGGAGGCAGCAGUGGGGAAUAUUGGACAAUGGGCGGAAGCCUGAUCCAGCCAUGCCGCGUGUGUGAAGAAGGUCUUCGGAUUGUAAAGCACUUUAAGUUGGGAGGAAGGGCAGUAAGUUAAUACCUUGCUGUUUUGACGGUACCAACAGAAUAAGCACCGGCUAACUUCGUG